rnacentral:rRNA from 1 species
GUACACGGUGGAUGCCCUGGCAGUCAGAGGCGAUGAAGGGCGUACUAAUCUGCGAUAAGCGCCGGUAAGGUGAUAUGAACCGUUAUAACCGGCGAUACCCGAAUGGGGAAACCCAGUGUGAUUCGUCACACUAUCAUUAACUGAAUCCAUAGGUUAAUGAGGCGAACCGGGGGAACUGAAACAUCUAAGUACCCCGAGGAAAAGAAAUCAACCGAGAUUCCCCCAGUAGCGGCGAGCGAACGGGGAGGAGCCCAGAGCCUGAAUCAGCAUGUGUGUUAGUGGAAGCGUCUGGAAAGGCGCGCGAUACAGGGUGACAGCCCCGUACACAAAAGCGCAUGUGCUGUGAGCUCGAUGAGUAGGGCGGGACACGUGGUAUCCUGUCUGAAUAUGGGGGGACCAUCCUCCAAGGCUAAAUACUCCUGACUGACCGAUAGUGAACCAGUACCGUGAGGGAAAGGCGAAAAGAACCCCGGCGAGGGGAGUGAAAAAGAACCUGAAACCGUGUACGUACAAGCAGUGGGAGCACCCUUUGGGUGUGACUGCGUACCUUUUGUAUAAUGGGUCAGCGACUUAUAUUCUGUAGCAAGGUUAACCGAAUAG